rnacentral:rRNA from 1 species
UACGUAGGCGGCCGCAUCAGUCAGUGGUGAAAUCCCGGGGCUCAACUCCGGAACCGCCAUUGAUACUGUGCGGCUUGAAUACGGUUGAGGUAGGCGGAAUGUAGCAUGUAGCGGUGAAAUGCAUAGAUAUGCUACAGAACACCGAUCGCGAAGGCAGCUUACCAAGCCGAUAUUGACGCUCAGGCACGAAAGCGUGGGGAGCGAACAGGAUUAGAUACCCUGGUAGUCC